CUGCUAUUCUCCAGCUGCCACUGCCUUCUCACUGACUGCCCUACUUGUUUUAUUUUGUGCUUCCUCUUUCCCUCUCUCUGUGCUGCUGCUGCUGGUGUGUGUGUGUGUGUGUAUCACUUUGUUUCCAUUGCCUUUUUCUGCUGUGCUGCAGGCACACAUAGUGUUGAGGAUUGGUGAAGAUACUGAUGGGGAUGCACAGCUGCACGGAGGAAGCAGAAGCCAGUUCUCACUCUUCAGCUCCCCAUCCCAACAACGGGACUACCGCCAUCCUCCCUCUCCGAAGAUGGGGGGGGGGGGGGGGGGUUGCCAUAUAGGAGCUCAGAAACAUGGAGUGGAUCCUAGAAGGGAGAGAGGAAUCUUUUCACUCCUGGUGCUGGAUGUCAUGCUUUGCUCUGCGUAGUGAUAGGAAGAGAGUGAGAUUACUCCAUACCCUGUAAGGCACACAAUCAACAAGGAUGGAAAAGGAGACUACAGUACAAUUCAGAAGAUACUAUUGUUCUUGGUUUGGAAGUAGAGGACAAGACAAGAAGAAGGCCUACUGAAAAUGUGUGCAUCCGGGUUGAGGUAGUAGGUUGUAUGGUUUAGAAUGACACCCUGGGAGUUAACGGUACAACCUUCUAGCUUUCCUUGGAGCACACUCAUGACAUCAAUCAAAGAGAUGACCCUCAUCAUGUCUUUCAAAGCAUAGCUUGGCUUGGUUUACAUUAGCCAACUGUUUUUGAGGGCCAUGAUGUCAAAAUCUCACCAUCAAUGUUUUUUCUCUGUGCACUAUUUUAAUUUAAGUGUGCAUGAUAAAAGAUGAUAAAUAUAGGAAGUAAAUUACCUAAAUGUAUUACAUAAUGGGAAAAGAGAGAGUUAUGUAUGUUUCUUAUUUUAAAUGUGCAGCUGUUUGAAGAAAACACAAAUAUCAAGUCUCAUGAUGAUCCACAAUUAGAUUAGCUUUGUUUUAUCUGUAUGCUCUCAUUAGAAUGGAUUGUUGGAGUGUUUUGUGAGGUGACAAUGGGUAUCGUGUUAUAGCCUUUCCUUUCCCUACACCGGCUUCUAAUUGACCUUUCCUGCCAGUAGACCCACGGUCAGUCUGCCUUCAGGGGCACAAAACCUUCAAUUAGUGUUAGGUUGAAAAGUUGUGUAUUUUUAGAGUGGUUGUCAUCCACUCUGGUAGGGAGGGAGGAAUGACCACACUGCGUCAAUCACACAGAGGAUCUGUAAUGUUAGACAUCCACUGUAUAGUAUCUCUCCAAGCACAAAAAAAGCACACAGCAAACAAAGGAUUUUUUUCAUUGUUCUUUCACUAUCCAUGAAUAUAUAGCAUAUUAAAGGAAUUUCAGAUUUAUCUGCAGAGGGAAUACAGUGAAUGCACGAUUCUUCAUGCUUUUGAAAAUGAAUUAUAGUGUCUUGCUAUCGUGUGGAUGUGUUUUUUGUAAGGCCAUUAUGUAAUAGAUCUAAUAUAAUUUGUAUUAUGUUAAAACAGCAAUUCACCAUUUACUGCUGGUGAUGGAGCUCGCAGUAAGGGAAUCUGUUACGUUUUUCACAUCCUAAUACUGUCAAGCUAUUCUGUUAUUGCUAAAGGUCAAUUUCAAUUUCUCACCAAGACAUCAUUUUGUGGUGGAACCUAUUUCACACAACCAGUUUCCCCUGGUUUCACAUUGCUCCCUGAGUCAUUUGAGCGUUCCUGUGUUUUCGUAGCCUCCGUCAGUCAAGGCGACUCCAGUGCAGGCCAGGGCCUUCCCACAUGAAAAGAUACACUGAUCAAAAAUAUAAAUGCAACAUGUAAAGUGUUGGUCCCAUGUUUUAUGAUCUGAAAUAAAAGA